AGCACCGAGUUGCUGGAGGCCUCAAGAGUCAUUGGAGGUGAGUAUUAGUUGUGAUUUGGCAGGAAAUUUGCUUCGGACGCUGGAUGCGCGCCACUUGCCAUAUGUAUGUCCGGAAAGCGUUGCAGGUAAUUUAUUGGUGGUAAGAAUAUGACGCGCCGCUGUCAUUUGUUGGUUUUCUCUUCCACCCUCAGUGGUAGAUGUUUGCGAUUAUUUAUUUAGCUUGUUAAAUUGCAGGUCAGCUUCGGCGGUCGUCGGGAAGAGGAUGCCUGAAGAAAGGUCCGGAACAGCGGUCGUCACGUAGUUUUGGAGCUGCUGCCAUUAUUGUGGUGUGAUCUGUCUCAUUAUGGCAGAGGAGUCGACAGUGAUGAUUGUGGCUUGGUCGUUCAUCUAGGGUGGCUAGGUGCGCCGCGUUUUGUGGCCAUUUCGUCAGGGUUUGCAGCUUGGAGCCUCCGGAACGUGAUUAGUUGCCGAGGGCCGUCGCAACGAUUGGGGCCAUGGAAAUGGAAGUAAAAUUAGAGAUUGGGUACGUUUAGUGGGAGGUACAUUAGGUGGAAGCUAGUCUGGUGGUAAGUGUUAUAAUUGUUUUUAAGGUUGCAUUAAUAUUUUGUUUUUCAGCUGCGUUUUGUAACUAAUUGG